ACCCCUCCUGAUACAGCCAGGACU
rnacentral:miRNA from 1 species